GAUGAACGCUGACAGAAUGCUUAACACAUGCAAGUCAACUGUGGCGGACGGGCGAGUAACGCGUAAAGAACUUGCCUCACAGAUAGGGACAACAUUUGGAAACGAAUGCUAAUACCUGAUACUGUGAGAGGGCUUUGCGUCCCAUUAGCAAGUUGGGGAGGUAACGGCUCACCAAGGCGAUGAUGGGUAGCCGGCCUGGGAGGGUGAUCGGCCACAAGGGGACUGGGACACGGCCCUUGCGCCUACGUGAGGAAGCAGUGGGGAAUAUUGGACAAUGGACCAAAGUCUGAUCCAGCAAUUCGGUGUGCAAGAUGAAGUUUUGGGGAUGAAGAGUGCUUUCAGUUGAGAAGCAGUACCAGCAGAAGAAGUGACGGCUAAAUACGUGCCAGCAGCCGCGGUAAUAC
rnacentral:rRNA from 1 species